CUGGGACCCAGGUUGGGUGCUUCGGCGCCCGCCCCCACCCUUUGCUUAGCCCCCGAUGUAAUAAAACCCGUCGGCCUCAGGCGCGCCCGCUUGACAGCGUGGUACGCCGGCCGGACAUCAAACCCUGAACAACAUUGCAGCCUGAAGUAAAAAGCAAAUAGUUA
rnacentral:misc_RNA from 1 species